ensembl:snoRNA
CACCCUGGCAAUGGGCAAAGAGACAACUUCUUGGGGAUGUUGUCCUUAUAUCAGUCAGGGGCAGGGCAGAUAGUAGCCCUUUGCUCAUACUAGCUUGAUGUCUGGCUUUGUGGUCAAAGCUGUUUCAUGCCUAGGGCACAUUA